rnacentral:rRNA from 1 species
UACGUAGGGCGCAAGCGUUGUCCGGAAUUAUUGGGCGUAAAGAGCUCGUAGGCGGCCUGUUGCGUCCGCUGUGAAAUCCCGGGGCUCAACCCCGGGCCUGCAGUGGAUACGGGCUGGCUAGAGGCAGGCAGGGGAGAACGGAAUUCCUGGUGUAGCGGUGAAAUGCGCAGAUAUCGGAAGGAACACCAGUGGCGAAGGCGGCUACCUGGAUUGACACUGACACUGAGGCGCGAGAGCGUGGGGAGCAAACAGG